rnacentral:lncRNA from 1 species
CAAAAGAGACUAUUUUCCUCUAUGUGACCUCCUUGAACCUGCUUCGACCUUUCUGACGAUGAAUGUUAAGUAAUCUAAGGAGGAUGACCCUACUUUGAUUGCAACGAUCACCUACUUGAGCCCUAGUCAGUUCUCACUUCCUCCAUUUUUUUUUUCUUUUUUCUCCUUCACUAUGUCAAUUUCAAAUCCCCUUUAAAAAUUUCUCAUUUUUUCGUGUUCU